rnacentral:rRNA from 1 species
GACGAACGCUGGCGGCGUGCUUAACACAUGCAAGUCGAACGAAGUGGCGAACGGGUGAGUAACGCGUAAUCAGCCUGCCCUUCAGAGGGGGACAACAGUUGGAAACGACUGCUAAUACCGCAUACUGAGGGAGGGGAUUGCGUCGGGUUAGCUAGUUGGAGGGGUAACGGCCGACCAAGGCGAUGAUCAGUAGCCGGGCUGAGAGGAUGGACGGCCACAAUGGGACGUGGGAACGGCCCAGACUUCUACGGGGGGCAGCAGUGGGGAAUCUUCCGCAAUGGACGAAAGUCUGACGGAGCAACGCCGCGUGAGGGAUGACGGCCUUCGGGUUGUAAAGCUCUGUUAAUCGGGACGCGGUACCGGAAUAGAAAGCCACGGCUAACUACGUGCCAGCAGCCGCGGUAAUAC